AGAGCAAUGAUUAAAAUCACCUUGGGAUAUCUGUUAUUAAUGCAGUUCUAAGGCAAUUCUGGAAGAAAAAUCCCAUUGAGUGUUGAGUGAUCACAUCAUUAAAACAGGCCUCUCUUACAGAGUCUCAAAGAGAUUUAUUUGAGGAGCAAAAUACUCCCUUGGAUUUAUAAAUUCUAGGGGGGUGUUUAUUUAAAAAAUAAAAACAUGCUACUUAUUUAUUACCAAAUCAGGGUACUUUAAACCUUACAAUACAUAAGAAGCUUUUGUAGAAAACAGGUUGAUGUAUUUAGAAUGUAUUAUUUCUAUGUUUGGGGAAAAAGGGGCUGUUAAUAUCCGGGAAGACAGACUUGAAAGAGAUGCUGGUCAAAUGUGUUCCUCAAAGUCAGACUUUCUUCUGAAAGGCACAAAGUUUCCCUCUCCCUUCAGGCUUGUAGAAAUGCCAGCUUCCAACAUGGAAAGCUUUGGGGACUGAAUGAGGUUUAUUUUUAUGUUUGUUUGUUUGUGAAAAGGAGAUUACAUCAGAAAGGGCCUAAAAAUAAAGGCCAAAUCUCCAUCAACAGGGCGGCCACCCAUUUGCACACAACCAGGGGCCUGCAAGCCUCUGAAGCCUCAUUCAGGUCUAUGGCAGAGUAUCUUCAUUCUGGCUGCUGUUGGGAUCAUCAGAAGAGCUUUCAAAACUCCCACAGCCCAAUCCACAACCCAAUGCAAUGACAUCAGAAAUUCUGGGGGGGACCCAGAUGUGAAUAUUUUUUUAAAACUCCCUGGGCAAUUCCCAUGCGUAACCGAGGUUAAGACCACAGCCGCUUCAAUUGUCCCGACACCCAGGUUGUACAAGGAUGUUGAGCCAUCAAAACUCAACAGCAGUGCUUGCUUCAGCAGCACAUAUACUAAAACUGAAAUGAUGCAGAGAAGAUUCACAUGGCCCCUGCUCAAGGAUGACAUGCAAAUUCGUGAAGCGUACCAUAUUUUUAAAUUUCAUGCCAUGCAUUGAGAAAAAUAAUAAAAACAAGCCGGGCACAGUGGUUCAUAUCUGUAAUCCCAGAACUUUGGGAGGUACUUGAGGUCAGGAGUUUGAGACCAGCCUGACCAACAUGGUGAAACCCCAUCUUUACUAAAAAAUACAAAAUUAGCCUAGUGUGGUGUUGCAUGCCUGUAAUCCCAGUUACUUGGGAGGCUGAGGCAAGAGAUUCCCUUGAAUCCAGGAGGAGGAGGUUGCAUUGAGCUGAGAUGGCACCAUUGUACUCCAGCCUGGGCAACAAGAGUGAAACUCUGUCAAGAAAGAAAGGAAGGAAGGAAGGAAGGAAGGAAAGAAGGAAGGAAGGAAGGAAGGAAGAAAAAGAAAGAAAAGAAGGAAAGAAGGAAAGGAAGGAAAGAAAGGAAGGAAGGAAGGAGGGAAGGAAAUA
rnacentral:lncRNA from 10 species